rnacentral:sRNA from 1 species
UACGAGUGCUUGCUGCCGCUUGGUAGCGGUA